GCUGACAGCUGCUGAUCUAUCUGGGUAGGGCAACCAGGAGAACACCAGCCCCUGCAGAGUCACCCCCCACCCAAGUGAAGCCAUGCUGCGGACCUGUGCCCUUGUCUACCUUGUCUUCUGUUCAGGGGUUUCAUUGGAUAUAACUCUGGAACCAGACGCCGAAACUCUGACUGUUUCAGUUGGAGAGCCUGCUACCUUCCGUUGCAGCGUAACAGGAGGGGACCUGAAGAACUAUCAAAUGAGCUGGUAUAAGAAGAAUGAAAAUAAUUCCCUGGUUUUAGUAUACAAAUUAAGAAACAAUUCUAAUGAUGAUUUAGAGAAUAAUUUCAAAGGAAAAACUGAUACUUUAAGAAGUCAAUUUAUACUUGACAUUCAAAAAGCAACAGCCAAAGAUGUUGGAACUUACUACUGUGGGUCAGAUAUGCACAGUGCUACAGCCCUGUUUCUGAUCACUACAGAAACUCACAGUCAAGCAGAUCCAGUUAGAGACUACACAGUGCUAAAAUGCCUGAGAUAAGACCACUUGAUAACCUCAACAGUAAUAGCUGAUAAGAGAAGCCAGGGACCAACUGGGGCAAGGGCAUUAUCUUUGCAGUUGACUUGAAGGGCCUUCUUUUUGAAUGGUUCAGCAAUUUGUUUUAAAAAAUGCUUUUUCGGGACCAGCAGUUGACGUAAUGGCUAUGUUGCUGGA